UUUUUUUUUCUCCUUUUAUUUUUCAUCUGCACCUUUACAAAAAAAUUACAUCACCGCACUGCCCUUUACAAAAAAUAAUGAUUUUUCCAUCUAUGCGAACGAUCGGGGUAGGAAUCCAAAGUCUUGCACCUUAUUUGGGAAGAAACCAAAAGCCGUGCGGCAUUAGGUCGGGAGACAGAGAAAAACAAUCGGAAUACUCGUUCGUAAGGCUCAAUGUACAGCUCAAGGCACAAUCGCUCGAACGAAACAACUCGAUCAAGACUAGAAGGAGAAAGCUGGGAGAUAGCAACGCCAGUGUACAAAAGAAAAGACAACAAAAAGGGGGAAGCGGGAAGCCGAAGCCCUAGAUCCUCGAAAUCCGAGUAAAGAGCGGUGUAACCAGAAGGAGGCGAAGAGGCAGAGUCACCAUCAGGAACCUUAAGGUGAGCUAUAGCUACACCAGGGGCGAUCCCACGAAAAUGAUGACGGGCCUAUCGCCGACUAAGAACAGAAGGAGGAUUUUCAGUAGGGGUUAUAGAGUUACCGUCAAACUGCAUACCAUCCACGAAGGAGUUAAGAUCAGCCAUAGGAGAAGACGCGGUAGUCGGCGAAAGAAAAACCCAUGUUCUGGUAAGUGAAUGAGUGAAAAGGUAAGAAGUGAAAAUGAGAGUGAAAAAUAAAUUUAUAGAAGAGCGUUGGCGGGAAAUAAAAAAAAAAGAGGAAAUUUGAAACGUAAAUUCACAUACCCCAAGGCCAGUGAGACCGUACGGCAAGGUGGGGGCAGCCCGCAUAGAAGGAAGGCGGCAAGAGCCGAAUGACCACAUAUCCCAAGGCCAGUAGGUCCGUACGGCAGGGUCGGGACAGUCCAGCCCAUGAGUCAUGUACAACCCGGAUGCUCAAGGGAGGCAGAGCAAAGAGACCGUAGGGCAAGCACCUGAACAGAAUCAGCCAUAGAAAUGAAUGAGAAAAACUACGAAGUCCUAAAGGAGUAGAAGUUAUACCUGCUGAUCGAGCAGCCCGUAUGGAAGGCAAGCGGCAAGAGCCGAACGGCCACAAUACCCGUGAAGAAUAACAGACGGUCAAAUGAAAUUCGAAAGGAAUUACCAAACCCCUGAUCGGCAAACGGUUAGGCCCGGGAAUAAGAGAUUAAGCAAAAAUAAUAAGAAAAAUCCGAGGGAAAAUGAAACUAUUUUUUUCAUAGCAAGGGGGCAGGAAAUUACAUCACUGCAACUGUAUCAAAAACAAAGCUCAAAGUACGGUGGUAAAGUAUCAGUACGUAAAGAUAAAAGAAAAUACGCUAUCUCGUUCACAGAUGAAGUCAUAAGAGCUGCAGGGGGACAAAAGAGAAAUAUCCAAGUACAUAUUAAAAGCACAAUAAAAACAGGCCCCCAUGAAGGAGACAUUCAUGGUCGGCCCGCGUGAGAGAAAAUGACGAAGGUCGGUCGGGG
rnacentral:lncRNA from 1 species